rnacentral:misc_RNA from 1 species
ACAAAUCAUCACAGCGCUCUAGAAGCAUGUCAUUUAGCCCUGAUCGUGUCCGUGUAAGAGGACGUUCCCCGGCCUUCAAUGCAUUGGCCGCUACUUUCGAGAACCCAAGUGGCAGGAAUCUUUCAACCCCUCCCCCAGUUGUUCGAAAACUCUAUCCAAAGUCGACACCUGAUUCUGCAAAACUGGCACCCAAGUCAGUUGCACUCGCUUCACUUAGUGCCUCUUUCGAACCCGCCAAAG